rnacentral:rRNA from 1 species
AACAAACGCUGGCGGCGUGCCUAAUACAUGCAAGUCGAACGGGGUAGCAAUACCUAGUGGCGCACGGGUGAGUAACGCGUGGAUAAUCUGCCUUAGAGUGGGGGAUAACUAGUCGAAAGAUUAGCUAAUACCGCAUAAGACCACAAGAACUGCGGUUCAAGGGGUCAAAGGCUUUUCGCUCUAAGAUGAGUCCGCGUAAGAUUAGCUAGUUGGUGAGGUAAUGGCUCACCAAGGCGACGAUCUUUAACUGGUCUGAGAGGAUGAUCAGUCACACUGGAACUGAGACACGGUCCAGAAUCCUACGGGAGGCAGCAGUAGGGAAGAUUGCACAAUGGAGGAAACUCUGAUGCAGCGACGCCGCGUGAGUGAUGAAGGCCUUCGGGUCGUAAAGCUCUGUCGCAGGGGAAUAACACAAUGAAUGUACCCUGUAAGAAAGGAUCGGCUAACUUCGUGCCAGCCGCCGCGGUAACAC